rnacentral:sRNA from 1 species
GGAGCACAUACAUCUAUAGUCCCAGCUUCUUGAGAGUGCAAGAGUUUUGGACUGUGGUGUGCUAUGGUGAACCGAUAUCUGCACUAAAGUUUGGCAUUCAUAUGGGAGUGAGAGACUACCAAGUUGCCUAAGGAAGGGUGAACUAACCCAGGUUGGAAACAGAGCAGGUCAAAACUCCCAUGCUGAUCUGUAGUGGGAUUGUGCCUAUUAAUAGCCACUGCUCUCCAGCCUUGGCAACAUAGCAAGUU